rnacentral:rRNA from 1 species
UACGUAGGGGGCUAGCGUUGUCCGGAAUCAUUGGGCGUAAAGCGCGCUGUAGGCGGCCCGGUAAGUCCGCUGUGAAAGUCAAGGGGCUCAACCCUUCGAAUGCCGGAUGGAUACUGUCCGGGCUAGUGCCGGAAGAGGCGAGUGGAAUUCCUGGUGUAGCGGUGAAAUGCGCAGAUAUCAGGAGGAACACCGAUGCGAAGGCAGGCUC